AUGAGGGAGGGAGGGGCUUCUCUCUGGAAGAUGUGCCUGGGGGACCUAGGGAGGAGACAAAGCUCUGGUCACCACAGUCCCACUGGGAGGAGCAGGGUCCUGUGGGGUCAGGGAGCCCCUGAGCUUCAGGGUCACCCUAGGGGACGGGUGCUCAGAGGGGAAGAAAGUGUGAAAGAUGCUGGAGAUGAUGGAGGGAAGGAAGCAGCCAGGCCCCCUCCCCUGCCACCACCACCACCUCUGCUGAGGGUGUCCUGGCAGUGCAGCCCCCACAUGGGCCCUGGACAGAUGCCCCCCAUGGAGGGUCCUGGUGUGGCUCCCAGCAGGGGCUCAGAGAGUAGGGAGUGUGCGUCAGAGCAAAUGCUUCAUGGGGGGCAGUGGGGGCCACCCCCUGGUGUGCGAAGCUGGCCCCUCCAGGAUCUGCCCCUGCCCCUAGCCCCCUGGCCAUCAGAGCUCGUGGCCGAGGGAGCACCGGGCUGCAGGAGAGGCUUCCUCGGAGGCAGGUGGCAGAGACCCCCACACGCACUCCCCCCGACCUCCCCACCGUGGGGCCGAAUGGCAUGUGAAGAACAGGAGGGGGGCUGAAGAGCAUUUAUUGUCUACUGACUGCCGUGGGCGCUCUGCAGAGGACCCGCUGGAGGGGCUGUGGGCUCCGCUGUCCUAGCAGCCCCUGUCCAGCCGGGGCUCGGCAGUCUCUGCAUCUUGAGUCUGUGGUUGAUUGAUGGUGUUCGCAAAGUGUGACAGGCCUGUUGGCAUAGCAGGGCGGUGGGCUUGGGGCUGGGGCUGGCCAGAUGGGUGGGCAGGAGUGGCCGAGGGUCAGCAGAGGGUGGAGGCUGCCCGCGUCCUUCCCUGGGCCUCUGGGUCCCAGCUAUAGCAGGAGGAGGAGUCCAAGCAUAGCCUACGCUUGCGAGAACUCAUGGGUCUGAGCGUGUGUGUGGAUGCGUGUGAGCGCAUGCGUAUGAGUGUAUGUGCAUGUGAGUGACUGCUUGUGCGUGUGUGUACAUGUGUGUGCAUGUGCAUGAGAGAGCGAGCUUGAGGUGGGAGCUGCUGUGAAUGCCACAUGGAAGUACGAUCAGUAAGGAUGCUCCCCCCUCAACUUGGUGUCUGAGUCCCAGGGGUCCUCACAGCCGGGCCCAGAGGAGGGCAGGCCCCAGGCUGAGCAGGAGCCCCCCAGCCAGGGCCCAGAGGCUGCGCGCCACCUGGGCCACCCCGUUACAGAGGUCCUUUUCACAGCAGGCCACAUCCCGCACUUCUAGGUUGAACGCUGGGUUGGAUAGAUUCGAAAUCUGCUGCAUCGCCUGGGAAGCUUCCUGGCAGGAAGGGGCACAACCCUUAGCGUGUAUUGUGCCUGUCUCCCCUGUGGGGGAGAAAAGGAAAUGCCGGAUGUGGGAGGCCCCCCAGUUCCCUCUGACCUCUGGGGUUGUCCCUUAUCGCCCUCUCCCCAGGGCUGCUUGGCCCUCCAUUCCUCUGCUGGGAGGCCCAUCCCGCCCCACCAAGCCCCCACAGCCUCUGGAGGCUAGCCCCUCUUGUACAGAUGGGGACACUGAGGCAGGCCAGUGAGGGCCCAGGUGACACGGACACUGGC
rnacentral:lncRNA from 1 species